CACACUGCUAUGUGAAAUCUGUUUCACAAGUAAAGUAUCUGUGAAGUCACAGUAUUUGUUUACAGGAAUUUCUCUGAGAAAUACAGGAAUAGUAGACGAGAUACAAAAGAAGUAAGGCUGUGAUUCUGAAUGAAGUCAGUGUCUUCUGGAUGACGGUAUAUGUUUCUUGAAAGAUAAGAAAUUUCCCAGGGCUGUAUCUAGAUAUUUCUGAGUUCCUGUUACAAGACCGUCUGCCAGUUUCCCAUAGGAUUUUUGCAAGAGACUGUAUGGAACUGGCAAGGCACAAAUGAUUUACUUCUUUCUCCGGUCCUUCAAGCCAAUAGAUGAUUUGUAAGGACUAACAGAAGCUACAGAGGAGAAAGCCAAACAAUUUUAUUUGAUUCAGUAAUUAACCUGGGAGGCUAGAAGUAUUUGCAAGAAGCCUAAACUCCAAAGAAUAACAAGAACAAUGAAAAAACAUUAAAUCUUAAUAUUUGAAUGUAGCUUCAAAGUCUUGGAUCUGCCAUGCAUACAUAGAACAGCAUACAGUACCUUCAAACACUAUUCAAUUUCAAUAAAUGGAAGAAAUCUGUAUUUGCAGUAGUUCAAUUUGCAAUACACUGGGGAUCCUUGACACAUUCAGUAAUGUUUGGGGAGAUGCCUAAAAGACAGCUUAUUCGCCAAAGUUCUUCUUAUUCUGCUAUUCUCCAUAACAAGGAAACCAGGGAAGCAAACCAGGUCAUGUUCUGAAUUCACUAUUCAACAAUCAGCUGAUGUGGCAAUGCAUGUGCACAUCUAACUGCUGUGUCAUGACAAAUUCCCUAUGCCAAGACAAGGAGACGUCAAGGAUGCACCAAUUCCUCUAAGAUACUUGGUUUUUUGCAAAGCAACUUUAAACGGCAAAACCUAAAUUUUGAUAGAAUUUAAAUGAAUAAUUUGGCUGUCAGUCUUUACAGAAGAGUGGCAGAGUAGGCCAGUCAAAGAAGAGAAAGCAAACUUUGGAACAUAUGCUUCAUCUACUGUGACUCAAUCAGGAUGACAAAGGUUAUUAAAACUAUUGUUGUUAUUCAACAAACUGA